AAAAUUUUAAGUUAAUCAAAACUAUUAACCUUCAAAGUUAAAAAUAUUUUUAUUAAAUUAAAAUAAAUUUUA
rnacentral:tRNA from 1 species